UACGUAGGUGGCAAGCGUUGUCCGGAUUUACUGGGCGUAAAGAGUAUGUAGGCGGAUAUUUAAGUCAGAUGUGAAAUUCCCGGGCUUAACCUGGGCGCUGCAUUUGAAACUGGGUAUCUAGAGUGCGGGAGAGGAAAGUGGAAUUCCUAGUGUAGCGGUGAAAUGCGUAGAGAUUAGGAAGAACACCAGUGGCGAAGGCGACUUUCUGGACCGUAACUGACGCUGAGAUACGAAAGCGCGGGGAGCAAACAGGAUUAGAUACCCGGGUAGUCCCUGAG
rnacentral:rRNA from 1 species